UAGCUUUGGCAGCACACAUACUAAAAUUGGAAUGAUACAGAGACGAGCAUGGCCCCUGCACAAAGUGACACACAAAUUCGUGAAAUGUUCCAUAUUUUU
rnacentral:snRNA from 2 species